rnacentral:siRNA from 1 species
GGAGUUGGGUCUUGUGGUAGGCUA